CUGCUGCCUCCCGUAGGAGUCUGGUCCGUGUCUCAGUACCAGUGUGGGGGACCUUCCUCUCAGAACCCCUACGCAUCGUCGCCUUGGUGGGCCGUUACCCCGCCAACAAGCUAAUGCGCCGCAUGCCCAUCCUCCGCCGGAAUCGCUUCCUUUUAACACCCGUGGGAUGCCCCACUGGUGUACCACGCGGUAUUAGUCCGGAUUUCUCCGGGUUAUCCCCCUGCGGAGGGCAGGUUGCAUACGUGUUACUCACCCGUGCGCCGGUCGCCGG
rnacentral:rRNA from 1 species